rnacentral:rRNA from 1 species
GGGAUUUCCUAUAGAGUUUUCUAAACUCCCAACCCAUGUGAACUUACCAUUGUUGCCUCGGCAGAAGCUGCUCGGUGCACCCUACCUUGGAACGGCCUACCCUGUAGCGCCUUACCCUGGAACGGCUUACCCUGUAACGGCUGCCGGUGGACUACCAAACUCUUGUUAUUUUAUUGUAAUCUGAGCGUCUUAUUUUAAUAAGUCAAAACUUUCAACAACGGAUCUCUUGGUUCUGGCAUCGAUGAAGAACGCAGCGAAAUGCGAUAAGUAAUGUGAAUUGCAGAAUUCAGUGAAUCAUCGAAUCUUUGAACGCACAUUGCGCCCAUUAGUAUUCUAGUGGGCAUGCCUGUUCGAGCGUCAUUUCAACCCUUAAGCCUAGCUUAGUGUUGGGAGCCUACUGCUUUUGCUAGCUGUAGCUCCUGAAAUACAACGGCGGAUCUGCGAUAUCCUCUGAGCGUAGUAAAUUUUUAUCUCGCUUUUGACUGGAGUUGCAGCGUCUUUGGCCGCUAAAUCCCCCAAUUUUUAAUGGUUGACCUCGGAUCAGGUAGGAAUACCCGCUGAACUUAAGCAUAUCAAUAAGCGGAGGAAAAGAAACCAACAGGGAUUGCCUUAGUAACGGCGAGUGAAGCGGCAACAGCUCAAAUUUGAAAUCUGGCCCUCGGGUCCGAAUUGUAAUUUGUAGAGGAUGAUUUUGGUGCGGUAUCUUCCGAGUUCCUUGGAACAGGACGCCUUAGAGGGUGAGAGCCCCGUACGGUUGAAUGCCUAGCCUCUGUAAAUCUCCUUCGACGAGUCGAGUAGUUUGGGAAUGCUGCUCUAAAUGGGAGUAUUUUUU